rnacentral:rRNA from 1 species
ACCUACGGGGGGCAGCAGUGAGGAAUAUUGGUCAAUGGGCGGGAGCCUGAACCAGCCAAGUCGCGUGAGGGAUGACGGCCCUAUGGGUUGUAAACCUCUUUUGCCGGGGAGCAAAGUGCCGCACGUGUGCGGUUUGGAGAGUACCCGGAGAAAAAGCAUCGGCUAACUCCGUGCCAGCAGCCGCGGUAAUACGUAGGGAGCGAGCGUUGUCCGGAUUUACUGGGUGUAAAGGGUGCGUAGGCGGGUAAGCAAGUCAGAAGUGAAAUCCAUGGGCUUAACCCAUGAAAUG